CAGUUUUAUCCCUGGUGCCUUAUCCUCCCACGAGCCUUUAUCCUCGCGCAAAAACAUCUCGCGCCGCUGCACUCCUGGCAGCCCGUGAACAGGCGACCGCCGACGGCGCAUUGAUUCUCCCCGGCGGCCGUCCCUCCCGGCAGUGGCCACGUUGGUGGCAAGCUUCCCCAGCGCACAGCCCUGCAGAGGCCCUCUGCUCCCCUCCCGCGGAGUGCAGGUCCGUCGCUCCACUGGCGCCCCUUUUGAGCGGCCAAUUCCGGCGGCGGCUCCGCAAGGUGGAGACUCCACUAUAUCUUAGCGAUAUUUUUCAGCAUGAGGCGGUCAAUCUUUCAUGGGUUCCUGACGGGCAAAGUCUUCUCCCAUUUUCUCCUAGGAUAAAGAAGAUAACAUUUGAACACACUCGUCACAGCACUGGAAAAGUUGAGGAGAAUAGCAUGGCAACCAACCAUUGGGUUAGGGAUAGGAUUCUUAAUUGGUUUGCAAAAACGAUCCUACAUUAGCAGCUGCAGCAUUGAAGAAAAGAUUGGAAGAAGAGUAUCACUUGCAGCUGUCAUAUUAGACUAUGCUAAACAAACAUGAAAGCAUCAUUUUGGAGCAUUAUGAUUGAAAACAUGUUAUUUUCUCUUGCUGCCCUUGCUACGGAAAUGCGACUGAAACAUGUGAUGUACUUGAUGCCGAAUGCGGAUGAAACCAUGUUAUUUUGCAUUGCUGAAUUUGAUAGCUAAAUAUGGAUGAACCAUGUGUUUUUCUAUUGUUGGAUAUGCUUUUGUUGCUAUUACAUGAUCUAUUUGAAGGGCAGGGGUAUUCUUGUCUAGAUUUA